GCCCCAGUGGCCUAAUGGAUAAGGCACUGGCCUCCUAAAGCCAAGGGUUUUGUGGGUUCGAGUCCCAUCUGGGGUG
rnacentral:tRNA from 1 species